rnacentral:rRNA from 3 species
GGACUACAAGGGUAUCUAAUCCCGUUUGCUCCCCUGGCUUUCGCGCCUCAGCGUCAGAAAAGGUCCAGCAGCUCGCUUUCGCCACCGGCGUUCCUUCCGAUAUCAACGCAUUUCACCGCUCCACCGGAAGUUCCAGCUGCCCCUACCCCCCUCCAGACCGCCAGUCUCCGAGGCUAUUUUCCGGUUGAGCCGAAAGAUUUCACCCCGGACUUGGUGGUCCGCCUACGCGCCCUUUAAGCCCAGUGAUUCCGAACAACGUUCGCACGGUUCGUCUUACCGCGGCUGCUGGCAC